rnacentral:piRNA from 1 species
UGCCACUCACCAGUCUGACACGUGUGCCC